GAUGAACGCUAGCGGGAGGCUUAACACAUGCAAGUCGAGGGGCAGCAUAGGGUAGCAAUACUCUGAUGGCGACCGGCAAACGGGUGAGUAACGCGUAUGCAACCUACCCUGUACAGGGGGAUAACCCGGAGAAAUUCGGACUAAUAUCCCGUAAUAAUAUCCGGAGGCAUCUUUGGAUAUUUAAAGUUCCGACGGUACGGGAUGGGCAUGCGUAACAUUAACUGGUUGGUAAGGUAACGGCUUACCAAGGCUAUGAUGUUUAGGGGUCCUGAGAGGGUGGUCCCCCACACUGGUACUGAGACACGGACCAGACUCCUACGGGAGGCAGCAGUGAGGAAUAUUGGUCAAUGGGGCCAAGCCUGAACCAGCCCAUCCCGCGUGCAGGAAGACGGCCCUAUGGGUUGUAAACUGCUUUUCCAGGGAGAGAAACUUACGCACGUGUUGCGUGACUGACGGUACCCUGGGAAUAAGCAUCGGCUAACUCCGUGC
rnacentral:rRNA from 1 species